CCAGAAUAUGUUCUUACCUCUUUUGGAGAUGAGAAUGAUCUCGUUGGCCCUGGAGAUGAAGGACUUUUCCCUGUGGUCAAACCUUCAGUGUGGAGCUGAGGAUAGACCUGAGCCCCUUAGCAGAAGUGUUCUAUCAAGGGUCUGUGUUAGCAGGAAGCACAAGCCAGCAGCUGGAGCCAGGGAUCAAGCCCAGGAAUGCAACCAGAAAAAGCAAUGGCAUCUACGAGCCAUCUGGGAAUGCUUCCCAGCCCUGCUCUAACUCGGGGCCCAGAGCCAGCUGCAUACCCGUGAGCUUCAGCGUUCACCUGGAUUAGGCUCACGGCAGAGGACUCUAUCAACAGGAGUGAUUUAUCUGCAAUUCCAGCUGUCCAACUUGUGGUGGGCAGUCCUCUGGGAGGAAGGUAGCCAAGAUGUGGGUCUGAACUGAGUUGUUAAGGCUCCAAGCCGAGGAGCUGCUUUGACACUGCCAUUGUCAAGCUCUAAGAGUGUCAUCUAUCUUUUGUUUGAUGGCUUCCAGACGCUAGAUGCCUGGCCAAAAAAUGGGAGAAAUAUGCCCUGAGCUCAUGACAUAGCAACCCCAGCUUGCAGACUUCCUUAGAGGUAGCAGAGAGAGAGAUCUACAGAAGCAUGUGAAAACUCUUGUAAUCUUUCCAUCGUAUUUCUUUGGGCAAUGGAAUUGAAUGAGUCAGGGUCCUAUCAGAACCACAGCACACUCAAGCAGGAAUAUUUGAGCUGAGUGUAAUUGACGAAGGUGUGGACAAGACAAGGAGAACCAAAAGGGAUCAUA